rnacentral:rRNA from 1 species
UACGUAGGGUGCGAGCGUUGUCCGGAAUUAUUGGGCGUAAAGAGCUCGUAGGCGGUCUGUCGCGUCGAAUGUGAAAACCCGGGGCUCAACUCCGGGCUUGCAUUCGAUACGGGGCAGGCUAGAGUUCGGUAGGGGAGUCUGGAAUUCCUGGUGUAGCGGUGAAAUGCGCAGAUAUCAGGAGGAACACCGGUGGCGAAGGCGGGACUCUGGGCCGAUACUGACGUGAGGAGCGAAAAGCGUGGGGGAGCGAAACAGG